rnacentral:lncRNA from 1 species
CUAGGCUAAGGUUUCAGCGGGGCAGACAUGCCCUUGGCAGCCCGUCUCCUGCCCUAGCAGCGCUAGGCCCAUCGCUACAGAGCCUGGGCGCCAGAGCCGCACAUGCAGCGAGCAGCGGCACCUGGACCCUCGGACAGGAAGUGGCCGCUCCGGCUGUGGGCUCAUCAUGAAAGGAGGGGAGCCUGGGGAGAGAGCCGAGGAAGAGCAGCUGCAAGAGCCUGUCUGAAGGCAGCGCCGAGCAGAUGUGGAGUGCGUGUCGGGGAAAACGGGAGGGGGCAGUCCGGGGCUGCCCCUGCGUCCAGAGAAGAUGCUCGACACACGCAGCCGGACCAACUCAAGGGGCAAGGGAAGAGUGGAGGGUUUUAGGGCGCAGACCAGGCUGCACAGCUGAAGCCGAGCUCCCAGAAAAAGGAGUGAAGUUCAUCUUCUUGGCUCUCCUCCAGAGGUCUGUGGCAGCAGGCAGAAAUCUGGCAGUGUGGGAGGAGACAACAGACGCCCAGAAGCAGCAGUAAGAAUUACCAGGUGUUGGUUCACCUCCACACUGACAAGAGAGGACCUGCUACCUGGAGGACUCAGCUUAAGUGCCUUCUUAUGCAUCUGAGCGACUUAACACAUUGCUGCCCCUAACGUCGAUUUAUUUGAUUGUAACGAUAGUCAAGCUUUAGGAAGAAAAAGGAUUGCCAACCAAAAUUUGGCAUACCCCUGACUUCACUGCUCACCACCCUCCUCCUUUGAAUCUUGUAAGCCUGUCUGCUUCUCUGUCUUCCUGUCAACUGGUCUAGCUCAGUCUCCUCUUCUGGCUCCUGUUCCUUCUCUUCACUCCUAAGAAGUCUUCACUGCAAAGAUAUGACUUGGGCUACUUUCUUUUUCCUCUCCAGACUCUCUUCCUUGCCAUUUCAAUCAGCUUGUUUGCAUCCUCUCCACCUCUAAGCAGAUCCCUCACUGCGGCACUCCAGUCCCUGUUUUCCAACUGCACUCCAGACAUUAUCACAUCGUCAUCAUCCUAUUAAUACAUACUUUAUGAAUACUUAAUUGCCAGGCAAUAAGCUAAACCCUUUAUAGGCAUUGUCUCAUUUUACUUCUUACAGGGAGGUAUCAGCUUAUAGAAAGAGAAGUAAGACACGAAGAGGAUAAAUAAAGAGA